UACGGGAGGCAGCAGUGGGGAAUAUUGCACAAUGGGCGAAAGCCUGAUGCAGCGACGCCGCGUGAGUGAAGAAGUAUCUCGGUAUGUAAAGCUCUAUCAGCAGGGAAGCAAAUGACGGUACCUGACUAAGAAGCCCCGGCUAACUACGUGCCAGCAGCCGCGGUAAUAAGGGCGAAUUCGUUUAAAC
rnacentral:rRNA from 1 species